ensembl:misc_RNA Metazoa_SRP Metazoan signal recognition particle RNA
GCUGGGCACGGUGGUGCGUGCCUAUAGUCCCAGCUAUUCAGGAGGCUGAGGCCGGAGGAUCUCUUGAGUCUAGGAGUUCUGGGCUGUGCACUAUGCCGAUUGGGUGUCUGCAUUAAGUUUGGCAUCCAUAUGGUGACCUCCUGGAAGCGAGGGACCACCAGUUUGCCUAAGGAGGGGUGAACCGGCCCAGGUCGGAAAUGGAGCAGGUCAAAACUCCCGUGCUGAUGAGUAGUGGGAUCUCGCCUGUGAAUAGCCACUGCACUCCAGCCUGGGCAACAUAGCGAGACCCUGUCUCUU